UAAACAUGAUUACUAGUAUUUUGUAGGGCAUGGGAGUUAAAGUUAUGGUUCCAAUUUUCUUCUUUGAAAUUGCAUUACUAACUCUUUGGAUGUUCCACAUGGUAAAUGUACCAGAGCUUCUGAUGUAUAAGAACAACCUGCAAGAGUACACUUAGAAAUUACACUUGUCAUUUCCAGUUUACCAUACCACCAAUGAAGGAUUCCAUCACGCAACAAAGCUUAGGUCAAUUGUGCUGGUUUAUGGAACAACAUAUGCAUCUAGGCUAACAUUUUCUCAUCGAAAAGAAGCCGAGUAGGACGUUGAAAAAUUUGCUCUUGAGUGCAUAAAAGAAAAGCUGAAAGUUGAAGACUCUUCCCACUAUUUACAAGGAUCCAAGACGUUGCAAGUCUAUUUUGCCAGAAUUUGCAUCAAGAAGGACCUGGGAUUUCCCAAGUAUACGACCACUGAAGCAGAAGACAUGUGACCAGUCUGUGCUCUAAAUUGUUUUUUCAUGGAAGUAGCAAGAAGCAGGAUAGAGCCAGAGAAACUGGCACGACAAACUGCAAUUCAAGCACUUCUUGGUAUUUUGCUAGGGCUUGAUUUCAUAAUGAGUUUUUAGCUUUCACGAAUGGUUCGUGAUAAUUUUACACCAAAUGUUAUUUCACAGGUUGUGAAUCUCA